rnacentral:rRNA from 1 species
CGGUACGGGUUGUGGGAGCAAGAGCCCGGAGAUGGAUUCUGAGACACGAAUCCAGGCCCUACGGGGCGCAGCAGGCGCGAAAACUUUACAAUGCGGGAAACCGUGAUAGGGGAACUCCGAGUGCCCGUAAAAUCGGGCUGUCCACCAGUUUAAAUAACUGGUGAAGAAAGGGCCGGGCAAGACCGGUGCCAGCCGCCGCGGUAAUACCGGCGGCUCGAGUGGUGGCCACUAUUACUGGGCUUAAAGCGUUCGUAGCUGGUUUGUUAAGUCUCUGGGGAAAUCUUCCGGCUUAACCGGAAGGCGUCUCAGGGAUACUGGCAGACUAGGGACCGGGAGAGGUGAGGGGUACUCCAGGGGUAGGAGUGAAAUCCUGUAAUCCUUGGGGGACCACCUGUGGCGAAGGCGCCUCACCAGAACGGCUCCGACAGUGAGGGACGAAAGCUGGGGGAGCAAACCGGAUUAGAUACCCGGGUAGUCCCAGCUGUAAACGAUGCGCGUUAGGUGUAUCAGUGACCACGAGUCACUGAGGUGCCGAAGAGAAAUCGUGAAACGUGCCGCCUGGGAAGUAUGGUCGCAAGGCUGAAACU